rnacentral:rRNA from 1 species
AUUGAACGCUGGCGGCAGGCCUAACACAUGCAAGUCGAACGAGUGGCGGACGGGUGAGUAAUGUCUGGGAAACUGCCUGAUGGAGGGGGAUAACUACUGGAAACGGUAGCUAAUACCGCAUACCAUCGGAUGUGCCCAGAUGGGCUGAGCUAGUAGGUGGGGUAAAGGCUACCCUAGGCGACGAUCCCUAGCUGGUCUGAGAGGAUGACCAGCCACACUGGAACUGAGACGCGGUCCAGACUCCUACGUGAGGCAGCAGGUGGGAAUAUUGCACAAUGGGCGCAAGCCUGAUGCAGCCAUGCCGCGUGUAUGAAGAGGGCCUGCGGGGGGUAAAGUACUUUCAGCGAGGAGGCGUUACCCGCAGAAGAAGCACCGGCUAACUCCGUGCCAGCAGCCGCGGUAAUAC